GAUCCUCAGACAUUGAAUCAAAUAAUUGACUUUACUAUAAAAUGUGACAAUUGACUUUUUGAGUUUCAAUCUAAGAAUCACGUAAGAGAACCUCCACAUUAUUAUAAUUCAAUGACAACACCAAUAACUUUUCAAUCUAAAUAUUUAGAAGUAAAAGACAUACAAAUUAAUGUAGUACAUUUUAAGCCUCUUAUUAAAUAAGAAAAUAUUUGUUGUCAUUAAAAAAGAAUAUAUUUAUAUUAUAGAAAAGCUAAGCACAUUUCCCAAUAUUGUUUAAAAAAACAACACAACUACAAAAUGAAGAAUUCAAUUGCCAAAGAUGAAAAAAUAUCACAAAUUUUUUUUUUCUAG
rnacentral:lncRNA from 1 species